CGGCGGCCAUGGCCCAGGAGAGACGCCCGGUCCCAUUCCGAACCCGGAAGCUAAGGCCUGGCACGGCGAUGGUACUGCACCCGACAGGGUGUGGGAGAGUAGCACGCCGCCGCACC
rnacentral:rRNA from 6 species